AGAAGAAUCUUUUUAGUUAGUAUACAUAACGAACCCUUUAUUUUGUUAUAGUAAAUUAGUACUGUUAAGGAAUUGAUGAAAUAAUUUAAAUGUUAAUUUUGGGGAAGUAUAUUUUAUUUAUAGUACCUUUUGUAUCAGGGUUAAUCAAUUAAUAUAAUGUAUAUUUAUAUCUCGAUUUUAGAAGAGCUAAUCUGUUAUUUUAGUUAAUGUGACAUAAUUAUUAAUAAUAUAGGUUAGUGGAGAAAUUUUAUUCGAUUCUAAAGGUAUCUAGUUUUUUAAGAAAUAAAUUUAAUUUAAUUUUAUCUAUUAUUAUUUAUAUUAUUAUGAAUUAAUAUCAGAUAAAUUAAAAAUUAUAGGGGAUAAGCUCUAUAUUUUUCUAUAAAAAUUUAAUUUAAUAAAUUUUUGUAAGCUUAAAAUUAGCUAUCAUUAGUAAAGGUGUUAUAAUUUAUAUUUAUUGUUAAUUAAUUUUAUUUAUUUUAGUAUCAUAUUAAAAUAUCAAAAUAAAUUUAAUAUUUUGAGUAAUAAUGAUUAAAUUAGUAUAGAAUAUUGUUUAUUAUAUAAAAUUUUACAUGAUAAAAUAAGGAACUCGGCAAAUAUAGUUCUCGCCUGUUUAUCAAAAACAUGUCCUUUAGAAUUUAAUUGAAGGUCUAACCUGCCCAGUGAUGAUUUUAACGGCCGCGGUAUACAGACCGUGCAAAGGUAGCAUAAUCAUUAGUCUUUUAAUAGAGGGCUGGUAUGAAAGGUUUGACGAGGGACUAGCUGUCUCAUUUUAUUUGUUUUAAAAUUUAAUUUUUUAGUUAAAAAGCUAAAAUUCUAUUGGAAGACGAGAAGACCCUAUAGAUCUUUAUAUAGAUUAAUAUAGAAGGACAUAUAUCAUAUUUUUAUAUUAUUCUGUAUUUUGUUGGGGUGACAAAAAUAUAUAAUUAACUUUUUUAUUUAUCAACCAUUGAUUUAUGAAUAUUAGAUCCAUUAUUAGUGAUUAUUAGAUUAAGCUACCUUAGGGAUAACAGCGUAAUCCUCCUCCAGAGUUCAUAUUUACAGGAUGGGCUUGCGACCUCGAUGUUGGAUUAAGAUAAUAAUUAGGUGUAGCCGCUUAAUUUAUAGAUCUGUUCGACCUUUAAAUUCUUACAUGAUCUGAGUUCAGACCGGUUUAAGCCAGGUCGGUUUCUAUCUCCAAUUUUAAUUAGUUUUUAGUACGAAAGGACCAAGACUAUAAAAUAAUUUUUAAUUAUUGAAUUACUAUUUUGGCAGAAAAGUGCCAUGAAUUUAGAAUUC
rnacentral:rRNA from 1 species